UGGACGCCCACCCCUACCCGCCCUUGCCCGAGAUGUUUGUCUCAGAGAGGACACUGUCCCCGUGUCUGGGGGGACAGAGGGCGAGAAGGGUCUCUCAACCCCGUUCGUCUCGCUCUCUCCAUCCCCCUAGUCCCGGAGAUCCUGGGCAACGGCACCUCCCUGCAUGUCCCAGAGGGUCAGUCCCUGCGCCUGGUCUGUGAUGCUCAUGGCAGCUCCCCCACCAGGCUGAGCUGGACCCGGGGGAACCUGACCCUGAGCCCCUCCCAGCCCCUGGAUCCCGGGGUCCUGGAGCUGCCCCGCAUGGUCUUGGGGGACGGAGGGGAGUUCACCUGCUGAGCUCAGCACCGGAGCGUCUCGUACCAUGUCUCCUUGAACCUAGUCAUGCAGGGCGUCUCCUCUUCCUGUCCCUUCAUCCCUGGGGAGCAGCAGGGCACCUGGCCCUUGAUCCUCACCCUGAUCAGAGGGGCCCUGAUGGGGGCAGGUUUCCUUCUCACCUAUGGCCUCACCUGGAUCUACUACACCAGGUGAGCGGACCUGCGCCUCUCAUGGGAAGUCUGAUGACGGGCCCCCACGUUCCAAGCUGCAUCUGCAAACUACACCACAGCUCAUGGCAACACUGGAUCCCUAACCCACUGAGCAAGGCCAGGGAUAGAACCUGCGUCCUCAUGGUUCCUAGUCGGAUUCAUUUCUGCUGCACCACAACAGGAACUCCUGGGUUCCGAGACCAGCUCAGCAGGUUGGGGCUGAAGAACGGGUGCUGUGAAACAUAAGGAAUAAAGUUAACAUCAAACAAGACA
rnacentral:lncRNA from 1 species